rnacentral:rRNA from 1 species
GGUUAAAAAGCUCGUAGUUGGAUCUCGGCAAGUAGCAGGGCGGUAUGCUUGCGUAUCAUCUACUGCCCUCAUUACUUGUACGUUUUGCCAGGAGGUUCCUGGGUGCUCUUAAUCGAGUGUCUAGGGAUGCUGGCAGGUUUACUUUGAAAAAAUUAGAGUGCUCAAAGCGGGCUAUUACGCUUGAAUAUUCGUGCAUGGAAUAAUAGAAUAGGAAGUUGUUUCUAUUUUGUUGGUUUUCGGAAAUCGACUUAAUGAUUAAUAGGGACAGUCGGGGGCAUUUGUAUUCAAACGACAGAGGUGAAAUUCUUGGACCGUUUGAAGACAAACUACUGCGAAAGCAUUUGCCAAGAAUGUUUUCAUUAAUCAAGAACGAAAGUUAGAGGUUACGAAGGCGAUUAGAUACCGCCCUAGUUCUAACCAUAAACGAUGCCAGCUAGCGAUCUGAGGACGUUUUUUUUGUAGACUCCUCAGGAAGCUUCCGGGAAACCAAAGCGUGUGGGUUCCGGGGGAAGUAUGGUUGCAAAGCUGAAACUUAAAGGAAUUGACGGAAGGGCACCACCAGGAGUGGAGCCUGCGGCUUAAUUUGACUCAACACGGGAAAUCUCACCAGGCCCGGACACUGGAAGGAUUGACAGAUUGAGAGCUCUUUCUC